CUUUCCUCAUGGCAGAGCUGCUGCGUUCCCCUGAUCAGCUUGGUGUCCCUCCUGUGGCCUCUCUCCAACAGGCCGCUGUCCUUCCUGUGCUGGGGACCCCGGAGCUGGGUGCAGGACUUCAGGUGGCAUCUCACCUGAGUGGAGCAGGGGGAAAGAAUCAUCUCCAAUCUGGACUUUUGGAACAGGGAAGAACUGUUACUCUAAAAACUGAGUGAAAGGGUUAUGUGUAAGCCACAUCUUGCCUUACACCUGUUUUCUGGGGGGCUUGUUGCUUUCAUUUACAAAUAAGAAGAGCAUUUCCUGGUAAUAACAGGAUGGUGAACAACUGCUCUGGAUUCCCUUGUGCCCUCCAACAGCAUUCCUGUGGGCUGCUGUAAAAUAAACUAGGUCCUGGGGGUGGUAAUCCAGCUGUAUCCUGCUAGGAAAGGCAGCCAGCAUUUUCAGAGUGGUGAUCUCAGUUAAGCUACCAUCACCCUGCGGCUUUGUGCCUUGAACAGGUGCCAAACCAGACCUGGGGAUUAUCAGGGGGAAAAAAAGAGUUGUCUUCCCAAUGUCCUGCUGUGUGUGAAACCAAGGUGUGGGCAGACCUUCAGCCUUCCAGGGGUGAUCCACGGGCUGGGAGCGGAGAACGGGCUUUAUCUCUGGGAGCGUGUGGUGUUUACCCAGAGAGAGUGAAGCCCUGCCAGGCAGGGCUUUCCACCCGACAGCAGAGCAAAGGCCUUUGCAACGGGAGCGCCGCCGUGUUCCAGGGAAACGGGGUUACCUGUGGGAGGAACAGCCCGUGGCUCUCCUCCCACGCUCCUGCUUCUCCCUCCUGAGAAAGACUCGGCUCUCUGGACAGCCCAGGAGUUCGUGCACCCAGCAGCAGUCCCGAAAGCCCAUGGGUGUCACCAGCCAGCGGGGAAGGACUUUCCCUUUCCUCCAUGCAGCAUCCCUGGUGCCUGCUGCCAUGCCCGGAUCUUUCCAGAAAGCCGGAGCUCCCUGCCUGCUAUCCAGGAUCAGCAUGGCACAUUCCGGACGAGGAGCCUGACCAAGCAAAACGCAGAUACGUAACAGGCAUUUAACGUCUCAUCGCACAAAGACGCGGGGAUCGGGACAGCCACGGCGUCAGGGACGGGACUAACUGGAAUCCCCAAGGUGGGGAGUACUCGAGAGCAGCACGGCAGCCCGGCAAAGGACGCUUUUCCCCGCACAGUUCCGGAGCGAGUGCGCAGAACGAAGACAUUUUGUUUAAUUGGCGCUCUUCGGUCGCGCCCUGAGGGGCUCGGGGCUCUCCCCUGAGGGGCGGCGGCGGCGGAGGGCGCCGCCUGGCGGUCACGCGGCCGGGAUGGACGGGAGGAGGAGGCGGCCGCGCGGUUGCCACGGCAACGGUGGGGGCCGCCCCGCCCGGCCCCGCCCUCCCCGGGAGCGGCCGCCCCGCGCACGCGCCGACGCGGGGUCGCGCGCGCUCCGCCUCACGCCUCCCGCCCCGCGGCCCCGCCGGCCCCCGG
rnacentral:lncRNA from 13 species